rnacentral:lncRNA from 1 species
GAAAACAAAAGCUGGAGCCUGGAGGUAUAUCAACAACACAAUCUCUUGUUCUUCUUCAAGACUCCAACGGCUUCACUUGUGUUGUAAGUAACUCAUUGCCCCUUCAUUUUUCACCUUCAAUAAUUGGAUUCUCUCGUCUCGCGAGUGGUUAAAAUUCCCAUGCUCUUUAACACUGUUUAAAAUUUAGCGGACUUCUCGAACUUUUUUGGCUAAUUUUGUAAGCAUGUCUACUAAGUAGAUAUUUUUAAAAUCUCCGUUUAGGCAUUUGGUUACUAAUCACUGUUUCGAUUAAUUUUUAAGUGUUUGAAAAAUAAGAAAUGAAGUCUAAACCUACCUAAAAACGCCCACCUAGCAAGUCUACUCUACUUAAACUUGCUUGGAUCGUGAUUAUCACUUAGACAGAAAAUUGAUAACUUUCAUUUUACAUUUUAUUUUUUCAAUAAAUUUUAAGAGAUUUGUUGAAUAACUAAACGAACACUCAUUGUAUGCUUGUUUGUCAGGUUUUCAAUAUGUUCUUCUAAUACUUUAUAAUUUAUAUAGCAUUCUAUUUUGUAAUUUGUGCAUUUCUAUACGAUUAUGUUUUUUUUUUAAGUAUAAUAAGACAUUUGUUUGUAUGUUAUGUAAUAAAUUUAGUUAAAACUUAAAAAAAAACCGCAUAGAUCCCACUUAAACGCCUAAGUGUUAAGCUUAUACCUGUCACCUGACUAGCGCUUAUUGCUUUUUAGAACAUUCACUAAGUAAGAAUCUUUGCUGUUUUCUAUGAUUGACAAGGAAGAUUGAAACUUCAUAAUUUUACUCAACUUACUGCAUUGCAUCCACUGAUUGUGAUAGGCAUUAGACACGACUCUAUUACUUUAUCUGUGAAAUGAAGCUUAGCAGUCAAAUUUUUUGACUAAUUUCUUACAAUUUCAUUAAAUAAAACUUUGGAGAAGAAUGAAAAGAGAUUCUCUUUUCUCUUCCUUCAAAGUUCAAGGAUAAAAUGAUUCUGAUUUUUAAAAAUUAGAUCUAACGGCUAAAAAUUAUUAUAAUUUUUAAAAGUUUUUACUAACUUAUUUGUUUUCAACCAUUGGAUCAAAUUUUAAAAACCUAAAUCACUUCAUCCCUGAACUUUGAAGGAAGAGUUCCGAAGAAAAUUUUUUUCCAAAAAGAAUAUCCUUGAAGCUUAUUCUUUAAUUUAUUUUUUACCAAUUUUCCACGCAUCAAUUUUGUAGCAUGGAAAGUCUAAAAGCUAAAAACACCUUUCUCAGUUUAGACGAAAUUGAUGGGUGAUUUGUUUUACUUCUGCUCUAUAAUGUAAAGUAAAUGAUUGAUGCUGCUCAGAGGAUAUAUGACAAUAUUCUGCUAUGAAUAACAUGUUUGGUUUUGGAGGUAUAUUUUGUUGGGUCUAAACAUGAUGGAUUCUAACACGUUACUGGGUGUAUAUCUCCUCUUUAUAAUCAAUCGCAUUACGUAACAAGAGUGAUAUCAAUAAAGUAUAUAACUGAUUGUAGAUCAUUCUGAUAUUAUGUUUGUAAUUUUGUGACGAGAUAAAUACUAACAGUAUGAUGUACACUGGUUGUACACAAGAACCGCAUUCUAAACAGAUGUUGAUCCGUGAAUUAACAGAAGCUUAGAGAAGGAAUGAUGUGGAAAUUUCUGGACCAUCCAUCUCAUAGAUUAACACCAUCUCAUUGACCACUUUUGCAGACAAAUACAUGCUGCUACAGCAGUUUGAUUCCACCCCUGAGAAAGUUUAAAGAAAAAGGUACUCUCUCUCGCUCUCUCACGUCCUCCUUUUUCUUCAAAAGUGUUGUUUUUGUGGGCAAUAUAUGUCUCUUGACUUACUUUGCAUGGAGGAGAUGUACAACUAAGUCACAAAGAAGAAGAGCGCCACUGAUCAUUAUUGCAUGAGAAAUGCUAACGGAAUUUUCUUAAAGUAGAACUCUUCAUAAAGUUUAUGUCUCCUCAUAUUUUCUGCAUAAUAUUUUAUAAUACUAACAUGGAAAUUGACGUUAAAUUGUGAGGAAGCAGAAAAUUCACAAAAAAAUAUCUCACUUUUGAGGCCCCCUUACGUUUGUCUUAUUACAUAUACUUACUAGUUAAGUUUGUGUAGCCAUAUAAAACUAGAAAUACCUACUUCCUUUAUCAUUGUUCUAGGCUGGAUAAUAUAUCCCUUUCCCUUUUUACCAAAGUGAUUGAUUCCUUUUUUCUACUCAAUACAUGGCCCACCCACCCUUCACAUAAACUAGGGUUUUUUCUUUCUUCUCACUUUUCUUUCGUUAGAUUAAACCAAGUGCUUAGUUAGUUAGUUUAUGUUAAUAAUUUUAAUUAGUUAAGAGAGGUAAUCUUUCCAUUUAUUUUGGUUGAACACUGCUUUCAUGUUUUCAUGGGGAGAUCAGAUUCUGAUCCAUGAUUUGGUUGUUGUCCUUCUUAAUCUAAUUAAGGUAGGAGUUGCAUGUUUUUAAUUAAAAACACACACACACAUAUAUGUAUAUGAAUAUUUUGCUUCCAAAAUGGUUUUCUUCUAAAACACACUUAAGAAAACUAAUUAUCUUCUUAAUUAUUUGACAUCUACGUCGAGAUUUUAACCGUUAAAUUCUUGGUCACCUCAGAGUAAAUGCCCCAUCUUUCUAGGUUAUUUUUAGAUCAAAAGCUUUGGUUGCAUUUUACAUGCACUUUUCACGUGAGGUAAUGCCGCUAAUAUUUGAAGCUAUGACCUGAAAACAGCUGAAGAAGAUGAAUAUUUAGAGUUUGUGGUUUUCACUGGCACCCAAUAAGCAACGCAUGACUGCAUGAUUUAGUUAGUAGUACCUACACUUUAACAAGAGCGGGUUCUAACCGUGUCCUUAAUUAGCUCUAAUAAUCUUUCCAUUAAGAUCCAAUCAUAGAGCAGCAUAUAUAUCUUUCUGACACUUGCAGCAACUAGUCUAAUCCAAUAUAUAGGAAAGUUAUCCUGUCAAGUUCAGAAAUUCAGGUUAUUGAAAUUUGAUCCAACGGCUAAAGUUAUUAUAACUUUUAAAGUGGACCUCUGUUUGUAGCCUUUGAUCAAAUUUCAAUGGUCCGGAUUCCCAGACUUGGUGGAUUAUGAGGAAUGGAUCCGGAGAUGAUCAUUUUCCCAUUAUAUAUGUGUAUAUGGGGACAAAUAUGUAUAUAUUUGAACCGUCUAUCUUUUAUAUCUUUUUGGUUUUCUCUCAAAUAUCACAUCUAUAAAAAAUCACUCAUCUUUGAAACAGUAUGACUAUGGGAUUAAGGGUUUACAGUUUCUUUGUAGAAUCGUAUUUGUCCAUUUUCUUCACUACAAAUGAAUAUUUUAAUGAUUUUGAAUUUGUCUAAUUGUUUACAAAGAUGAUCUAUGAAUGAUGCUCUAAAAAACAAACGAUUUGGAUCAUUAAAAUACAUUAAGUAGUGGACCCCAUAAAAACGCGUGCUAAAAAUUGUGUAAAAAAAGUGGUGCUACGGAUCUGCUUAUAUAUAUAUAUUAUUGUGUGUACUAGUACUAUAUAAUAUUGGAUAUUGGACAUGAAUAAUUUUGGUUCUUUCGUCCCCUUUGGUAUAUAAAUAUAUACAUUUAUAUGUGCCCAUAGAAUUAGAGAAUGUUGAUGUGGUUUAAGCUUUAUGGAAAGAAAGAGUGUUUUCCAACUUUACAAUUUGGCAUGGACCUUUGUGUUUCCUUAUAAUAUUUCUGCUGCAUCUGCAUGGCCUGUUUACCCCUUUCAUCCACAGGAGGUUAGGUAGGUCGGAAAUGCAUCAUGUCCAGAUCCCUUCCUUUUAAUUCAUCAAAUCAGUGGAUUUGUACCAUUGAAAUUUGAUCAAACAGUUAAAUUUAUUAUAACUUUUAAAGUGGACUCUUGUUUGUAUUCAUUGGAUCAAAUUUCAAUGACAUGAAUUUCCAAAUUUGGUGGAUUAGGAGGAAGGGAUCCAGAGGAUCCCUGCCCAGGUAGGUCACCAUCUUCAUGGUAAAAAGCGCAUUGUGUUUAGCUUUUUGUCUAAUCCUUCAUGUCCUGUCGACGGAGAUUGACUUCUCUAUCUCCGUCACAGUGUUUUUUUUUAUCUUUAUCUCUCUCCUUGCGUGACGUGAUCAAUCACGAUAUGAUAUAGACAGAGAGCGAGCGAUACUGCCAUGGGAAAGGGAAGUAUUUUCACUUGUGAAUAUUCCUGCUAUGAGCUUCAAGGAAUGAAGAGUAUGGGAAACGGGCAAUUCGAACGUAAUUUACAUGGAGAAAAGAAGGGGAUUUUCUCGUGGGGCCUCUGCAUGUUUGUGGAGUAGGGAAUUGGAUUCUCGCCGGCAAUUUGAAACUGAAAUGAAGAGUAUAGUCUUCAUCCAAAUUUUAAACUAAUCUACAUUUGUAUUUAGAGGAAUUUGAACCCACAUGCAUAUAGGAGAGCCAUUCACCCUUGCAAAUGUAGAGAGAUAUUUCAGUGUCUCCGAAACACGAGCACAUAAGCCAUAUGUUAUUAUACAAGUGAAUGAGCACUUGAAGAAAAAAAAAAUCCCUUCUCUUGUAGCUAUUAUUAUGGCAACGUCAACAAAUCAUACACUAUUUUAGAUGUUUAUGAAACUUGUAGCUAGUGUUCGUUCUUGAUCUUUAUCAUCUACAAAAGGAUCCAAAACAGUUACAAUCUUAAGAAUGGGCUGCAAAGUUGGCGUCCUAUUGUUGUGAAUGGGCUACUAAGGAUUAAUUGGUCACUGGCAAAUGCCAAGUUUAAAGAUCCGAGUUUUAAAUUAGGCAGUAACCCAUCCCGUCGAUUCGCAUUACACAAAGCAAGUAUUUGGAUCUCUCUCUUUUCA